UACGUAGGGGGCUAGCGUUGUCCGGAAUUACUGGGCGUAAAGCGUGCGCAGGCGGUGAUGUAAGACAGAUGUGAAAUCCCCGGGCUCAACCUGGGAACUGCAUUUGUGACUGCAUCGCUGGAGUGCGGCAGAGGGGGAUGGAAUUCCGCGUGUAGCAGUGAAAUGCGUAGAUAUGCGGAGGAACACCGAUGGCGAAGGCAAUCCCCUGGGCCUGCACUGACGCUCAUGCACGAAAGCGUGGGGAGCAAACAGG
rnacentral:rRNA from 1 species